rnacentral:rRNA from 1 species
UUAAUGAGAGUUUGAUCCUGGCUCAGGACGAACGCUGGCGGCGUGCCUAAUACAUGCAAGUAGAACGCUGAAGAGAGGAGCUUGCUCUUCUUGGAUGAGUUGCGAACGGGUGAGUAACGCGUAGGUAACCUGCCUUGUAGCGGGGGAUAACUAUUGGAAACGAUAGCUAAUACCGCAUAACAAUGGAUGACACAUGUCAUUUAUUUGAAAGGGGCAAUUGCUCCACUACAAGAUGGACCUGCGUUGUAUUAGCUAGUAGGUGAGGUAAUGGCUCACCUAGGCGACGAUACAUAGCCGACCUGAGAGGGUGAUCGGCCACACUGGGACUGAGACACGGCCCAGACUCCUACGGGAGGCAGCAGUAGGGAAUCUUCGGCAAUGGGGGCAACCCUGACCGAGCAACGCCGCGUGAGUGAAGAAGGUUUUCGGAUCGUAAAGCUCUGUUGUAAGUCAAGAACGGGUGUGAGAGUGGAAAGUUCACACUGUGACGGUAGCUUACCAGAAAGGGACGGCUAACUACGUGCCAGCAGCCGCGGUAAUACGUAGGUCCCGAGCGUUGUCCGGAUUUAUUGGGCGUAAAGCGAGCGCAGGCGGUUUGAUAAGUCUGAAGUUAAAGGCUGUGGCUCAACCAUAGUUCGCUUUGGAAACUGUCAAACUUGAGUGCAGAAGGGGAGAGUGGAAUUCCAUGUGUAGCGGUGAAAUGCGUAGAUAUAUGGAGGAACACCGGUGGCGAAAGCGGCUCUCUGGUCUGUAACUGACGCUGAGGCUCGAAAGCGUGGGGAGCGAACAGGAUUAGAUACCCUGGUAGUCCACGCCGUAAACGAUGAGUGCUAGGUGUUGGAUCCUUUCCGGGAUUCAGUGCCGCAGCUAACGCAUUAAGCACUCCGCCUGGGGAGUACGACCGCAAGGUUGAAACUCAAAGGAAUUGACGGGGGCCCGCACAAGCGGUGGAGCAUGUGGUUUAAUUCGAAGCAACGCGAAGAACCUUACCAGGUCUUGACAUCCCGAUGCUAUUUCUAGAGAUAGAAAGUUACUUCGGUACAUCGGUGACAGGUGGUGCAUGGUUGUCGUCAGCUCGUGUCGUGAGAUGUUGGGUUAAGUCCCGUAACGAGCGCAACCCCUAUUGUUAGUUGCCAUCAUUCAGUUGGGCACUCUAGCGAGACUGCCGGUAAUAAACCGGAGGAAGGUGGGGAUGACGUCAAAUCAUCAUGCCCCUUAUGACCUGGGCUACACACGUGCUACAAUGGUUGGUACAACGAGUUGCGAGUCGGUGACGGCGAGCUAAUCUCUUAAAGCCAAUCUCAGUUCGGAUUGUAGGCUGCAACUCGCCUACAUGAAGUCGGAAUCGCUAGUAAUCGCGGAUCAGCACGCCGCGGUGAAUACGUUCCCGGGCCUUGUACACACCGCCCGUCACACCACGAGAGUUUGUAACACCCGAAGUCGGUGAGGUAACCUUUUGGAGCCAGCCGCCUAAGGUGGGACAGAUGAUUGGGGUGAAGUCGUAACAAGGUAGCCGUAUCGGAAGGUGCGGCUGGAUCACCUCCUUUCUAAGGAA